CAGUCGCCGCGGUAAUACAGAGGAUGCAAGCGUUAUCCGGAAUGAUUGGGCGUAAAGCGUCUGUAGGUGGCUUUUCAAGUCCGCCGUCAAAUCCCAGGGCUCAACCCUGGACAGGCGGUGGAAACUACCAAGCUGGAGUACGGUAGGGGCAGAGGGAAUUUCCGGUGUAGCGGUGAAAUGCGUAGAGAUUAGGAGGAACACCAGUGGCGAAGGCGGCUUUUGGCCUGUAACUGACACUGAGGCGCGAAAGCGUGGGGAGCAAACAGGAUUAGAUACCCCGGUAGUCCCUGUCUCUUAUACC
rnacentral:rRNA from 1 species